UCAUACAACAAAAGAGCAUAUGGAGGAUGCCUUGACACCAAAAGUGGAUGAAGGACGUGGCGUAGCUGCGAUAAGCUCCGGGAAGGUGUGUAGCAACCUGUGAUCCGGAGAUUUCCGAAUGGGGAAACCCACCUGCGCAAACCGCAGGUACCCUGGCGUUAAGCCAGUGGACAUAACCCGCCGAAGUAAAACAUUUCAGUAAGCGGAGGAAAAGAAAACUAUUCUAACUUUUUAACUGAUUGGCCUAUUGGCCAUUCAGUUAAAAAGUUAGUACAUUCCCUUAGUAGCGGCGAGCGAACGGGGAUCAGCCCAAACCUUAAUAUUUAUAUUAAGGGGUUGUAGGACUACCAUCAUGUAGGGAGAGAUUUAUAAGAACGACCCUGGAAGGGGCGGCCAAAGAAGGUAAAAGCCCUGUAUUUUAAAAGUUUCAAACUAUAGGUAGUAUCCUGAGUAGCUCGAGACACGACCAUCUCGAGUGAAUCAUCCCGUACUGUCGGGAAAGGCUAAAUACUAUUUGGUGAUCGAUAGUGAACAAGUACCGUGAGGGAAAGGUGAAAAGUAGCCCGGUUAGGGCGGUGAAAUAGAACCUGAAACCAUAUGCUUACAAGGAGGCGGAGCCCUUCGGGGUGACGCCGUGCCUUUUGCAGAAUGAGCCAACGAGUUAUUUUACGUUGCUGGUUAAAUUUACAACAAAAUGAAACCACAGGGAAACCGAGUGUUAAUAGCGCGAACUAUAAGUAAUGUAAAAUAGACCCGAAGCCAGGCGAUCUAUCCAUGGCCAGGGCGAACCUCGGGUAAGACCGAGGGGAGGCCCGAACCCACUUCUCUUGCAAUUGGAGGGGAUGAGCUGUGGAUCGCAGUGAAAAGCUAAUCGAGCCUGGUAAUAGCUGGUUCUCUUCGAAAUAGCUUUAGGGCUAGCUCUUGUUUAUAGACAUGCAGAGGUAGAGUGCUAAUUGGUCUUUCGAUGCUUAUGCUGAGAUAGAUCAGAUAAACUAUGAAUUCUGUGUGUUGUUUGCAAGAAGUCAGAAUGUGGGGGCUAAGCUCCAUAUUCAAGAGGGAAACAGCCCAGACCACAGUCUAAGGUCCCCAAGUAUAAACUCAGUGGGAAAGGAUGUGAGGAUUCUCAAACAGCUAGGAGGUUGGCUUAGAAGCAGCCACCCUUUAAAAAGUGCGUAACAGCUUACUAGUCGAGAGUUCUCGCGCCGAAAAUUUAACGGGGCUUAAGUUUAUCACCGAAGACGUGGAUGUCCCACAUUAGUGGGACGUGGUAGAAGAGCAUUUCUAUUGCGUUGAAGCCGUGUUGUGAAGCAUGGUGGAGCGAUGGGAAGAGAGAAUGUUGGCAUGAGUAACCACAAGGCCGAUGAGAGAUCGGCCCGCCGAAAGCCUAAGGUUUCCUUGGCAAUGUCAAUCAGCCAAGGGUUAGGCGGUCCUAACUUGGGGUCCGAAAGGGUCACAGGGAUGGACAGCCGGUUAAUAUUCCGGCCCCCGGACGUUUUGUGAUGGAGUGACGGAGUUCUGUACCUGAUGCACGUUAUUGGAUUCGUGUUUGCGUAUCGAGGCGGUAUAUGGAGAAAUGCCAUAUGCAUUAGCCAAUGAUAUGUAAAAAUUCCUGCCUACGGGCAGGGGGAUAUCAGAGAGCGGGCUUCCGAGAAAAGCUUCUAAACUUAAAGACGUUUGGUCCGUACCAAAACCGAAACAGGUAGGCAAGUAGAGAAUACUAAGGCGAACGAGUGAAUCUUCGUUAGGGAACUCGGCAAAUCAACUAGGCGUAACUUAGGGAUAUGCCUCCCCUGAUGCAAAUCAGGGCGCAGUUAAAGUCUGUCUAGCGACUGUUUAUCAAAAACACAGCUCCCUGCGAACUCGUAAGAGGAUGUAUAGGGGGUGACGCCUGACCAAUGCUGGAACGUUAAGCGUUGUUGGUCCUCCGAUUUAUCGGAUGGCUGAUGGUGCAAGCGCCAGUGAAUGUCGGCCGUAACUAUAACGGUCCUAAGGUAGCGAAAUUCCUUGGCAGGUAAGUUCUGUCCCGCACGAAAGGCGUAACGACUGGACAACUGUCCCAACGAAGAGCUCGGUGAAAAUACAAUACCGGUGAAGAUGCCGGUUACCCGCGGAAAGACGGAAAGACCCCGGGAGCUUUACUAUAGCUUUCUAUUGUUUUAGUGUUUUGAAUGCGUAGCGUAGUGGGCAGGCUUUGAAGUCGCGAUUUUGGUCGCGGUGGAGCCGCCAAUGAAACACCCAUCUUUCAAAUUGCUAAAACUAACCAAAUGCUAAACACAUUUGAGACAGUGGAUGGCAGGUAGUUUAAGUGGGGCGCUUGCCUCCUAAAUAGUAGCGGAGGCGUUUAUCAAGGUCAGCUAGCUCCGGAUGGAAAUCGGAGCGGUCGCGUAAAGGCACAAGCUGGCUUAACUGCAAGGCCUAUAAGCCGCGCUCUGUAAAACUUUAUGAUUUAUUUCAUAAGGGAUUAACAGACUUGUCACUUUGUUUACAAGGUGCCAAGAGAUGCGAAAGCAGAACUUAGUGAACCGACCUUCUUCUAUAGAAAAGAGGAAGAUCAUCAGAUAAAAGUUACCCCGGGGAUAACAGGCUGGUCGCGUCCGAGAGUCCAUAUCGACGACGCGGUUCGGCACCUCGAUGUCGGCUCGGCGUAUCCUGGGGCUGUAGAAGGUCCCAAGGGUUUGGCUGUUCGCCAAUUAAAACGCUACGCGAGCUGGGUUCAGACCGUCGCAAGACAGGUUGGUCCCUAUCUUCCGUGGGCGCGGAACUUUGAGGGAACUCGCUCCUAGUACGAGAGGACCGGAGUGAACGAAACCUCUGGUGUACCAGUUGUCCUGCCAAGGGCACAGCUGGGUAGCUAUGUUCGGAAGGGAUAAGUGCUGAAAGCAUAUAAGCACGAAGCCCGUCCCAAGAUUAGAGUUCAUAAAUCCCUGCCAGACGAGCAGGUUGAUAGGCUGUAGGUGUAAGCACUGAGAAGUGUUGAGCCGAGCAGUACUAAAAGAUUAUUUGUAUGAUA
rfam:Candidatus Spechtbacteria bacterium RIFCSPLOWO2_01_FTLL_43_12 rifcsplowo2_01_scaffold_1540, whole genome shotgun sequence.